GACAGAGGGUGCAAACGUUGUUCGGAUUUACUGGGCGUAAAGCGCGUGUAGGCGGCUUGGCAAGUUGGAUGUGAAAGCCCCCGGCUCAACCGGGGAGAGUCGUCGGGGACCGCACCGCUUGAGGGCGGUAGGGGCUGGUGGAAUGCCUGGUGUAGUGGUGAAAUGCGUAGAGAUCAGGCAGAACACCUGGGGCGAAGGCGGCCAGCUGGGCCGUCCCUGACGCUGAGGCGCGAAGGCGUGGGGAGCGAACGGG
rnacentral:rRNA from 1 species